CCUACGGGGGGCAGCAGUGGGGAAUAUUGGGCAAUGGGCGCAAGCCUGACCCAGCAACGCCGCGUGAAGGAAGAAGGCUUUCGGGUUGUAAACUUCUUUUAAGGGGGAAGAGCAGAAGACGGUACCCCUUGAAUAAGCCACGGCUAACUACGUGCCAGCAGCCGCGGUAAUACGGAGGUGGCAGGCGUUGUCCGGAUUUACUGGGUGUAAAGGGCGUGCAGCCGGAGAGACAAGUCAGAUGUGAAAUCCACGGGCUCAAACCGUGAACUGCAUUUGAAACUGUUUCCCUUGAGUGUCGGAGGGGUAAUCGGAAUGCCUGGUGUAGCGGUGAAAUGCGUAGAUAUAAGGAAGAACACCAGUGGCGAAGGAGGAUUACUGGACUACAACUGACGGUGAGGCGCGAAAGCGUGGGGAGCAAACAGGAUUAGAUACCCGAGUAGUC
rnacentral:rRNA from 1 species